rnacentral:tRNA from 1 species
AACCUUGCCAAGGUUGGGGUCGAGAGUUCGAAUCUCUUCGCCCGCUCCA